GACGUAGGGCGCGAGCGUUUGUCCGGAUUUAUUGGGCGUAAAGAGCUCGUAGGCGGCUUGUCGCGUCGACUGUGAAAUCCCGCGGCUCAACUGCGGGUCUGCAGUCGAUACGGGCAGGCUAGAGUUCGGUAGGGGAGACUGGAAUUCCUGGUGUAGCGGUGAAAGUGCGCAGAUAUCAGGAGGAACACCGGUGGCGAAGGCGGGUCUCUGGGCCGAUACUGACGCUGAGGAGCGAAAGCGUGGGGAGCGAACAGG
rnacentral:rRNA from 1 species